GCGACCCCAGGUCAGGCGGGGCUACCCGCUGAGUUUAUA
rnacentral:rRNA from 2 species